GAAUUCGCCCUUGAGUUUGAUCCUGGCUCAGGACAAACGCUGGCGGCGUGCCUAACACAUGCAAGUCGAACGGAGUGAGAGACUUCGGUUUUUCACUUAGUGGCGGACGGGUGAGUAACGCGUGAGCAACCUGCCUUUCAGAGGGGGACAACAGCUGGAAACGGCUGCUAAUACCGCAUAAUGCAUUCGGGGGACAUCCCCUGAAUGCCAAAGAUUUAUCGCUGAAAGAUGGGCUCGCGUCUGAUUAGAUAGUUGGCGGGGUAACGGCCCACCAAGUCGACGAUCAGUAGCCGGACUGAGAGGUUGAUCGGCCACAUUGGGACUGAGAUACGGCCCAGACUCCUACGGGAGGCAGCAGUGGGGAAUAUUGGGCAAUGGGGGAAACCCUGACCCAGCAACGCCGCGUGAGGGAAGAAGGUUUUCGGAUCGUAAACCUCUGUCCUUUGUGAAGAGAAAGAGACGGUAGCAAGGGAGGAAGCCCCGGCUAACUACGUGCCAGCAGCCGCGGUAAUACGUAGGGGGCAAGCGUUGUCCGGAAUGAUUGGGCGUAAAGGGCGCGUAGGCGGCCCGGUAAGUCUGAAGUGAAACUCCAACUUUUAAGGACGGAACUGCUUUGGAUACUGUCGGGCUUGAGUGCAGGAGAGGUUAGUGGAAUUCCCAGUGUAGCGGUGAAAUGCGUAGAGAUUGGGAGGAACACCAGUGGCGAAGGCGACUAACUGGACUGUAACUGACGCUGAGGCGCGAAAGUGUGGGGAGCAAACAGGAUUAGAUACCCUGGUAGUCCGCACAGUAAACUAUGAUAACCAGCUGUGGGCGAUAGAAUGUGGGGGGCCAAGCGAAAGGGGUAAGUUAUCCACCUGGGGAGUACGACCGCAAGGUUGAAACUCAAAGGAAUUGACGGGGGCCCGCGCAAGCGGAGGAACAUGUGGGGUUAGUUCGAUGAUACGCGAGGAACCUUACCGGGGCUCGAACGGUACGGGAGGACUUCAGAGAGGGAGUUUCCCUUCGGGGCUGGUAUCGAGGUGGGGCAUGGUUGUCGUCAGCUCGUGCCGUGAGGUGUCGGCUUAAGUGCCAUAACGAGCGCAACCCUUGUUGACAGUUGCCAUCAGGGUAAGCUGGGGACUCUGUCGAGACUGCCACCGUAAGGUGUGAGGAAGGGGGGGAUGACGUCAAAUCAGCACGGCCCUUAUGUCCGGGGCGACACACGUGUUACAAUGGUGACUACAGAGGGAAGCUACCUGGCGACAGGAUGCGAAUCUCGAAAAGUCAUCCCAGUUCGGAUCGGAGUCUGCAACUCGACUCCGUGAAGUUGGAUUCGCUAGUAAUCGCGCAUCAGCCAUGGCGCGGGGAAUACGAAAGCCGGGCCUUGCACACACCGCCCGUCA
rnacentral:rRNA from 1 species